rnacentral:rRNA from 1 species
AAUUUUGGACAAUGGACGCAAGUCUGAUCCAGCCAUGCCGCGUGCGGGAAGAAGGCCUUCGGGUUGUAAAGCACUUUAAGCAGUGAAGAAGACUCCAUGGUUAAUACCCAUGGACGAUGACAUUAGCUGCAGAAUAAGCACCGGCUAACUCUGUGCCAGCAGCCGCGGUAAUACAGAGGGUGCAAGCGUUAAUCGGAAUUACUGGGCGUAAAGCGAGCGUAGGUGGCUUGAUAAGUCAGAUGUGAAAGCCCCGGGCUUAACCUGGGAACGGCAUCUGAUACUGUUAGGCUAGAGUAGGUGAGAGGAAGGUAGAAUUCCAGGUGUAGCGGUGAAAUGCGUAGAGAUCUGGAGGAAUACCGAUGGCGAAGGCAGCCUUCUGGCAUCAUACUGACACUGAGGUUCGAAAGCGUGGGUAGCAAAC